rnacentral:rRNA from 1 species
UGAGGAAUAUUGGUCAAUGGGGGCAACCCUGAACCAGCCAAGUCGCGUGAAGGAUGAAGGUCUUAUGGAUUGUAAACUUCUUUUACACGGGAAUAAAGCGGGGGACGUGUCCCUCUUUGCAUGUACCGUGUGAAUAAGGAUCGGCUAACUCCGUGCCAGCAGCCGCGGUAAUACGGAGGAUCCGAGCGUUAUCCGGAUUUAUUGGGUUGAAAGGGUGCGCAGGCGGGAUGUUAAGUCGUCGGUGAAAUUUUGCAGCUCAACUGUAAAAGUGCCUUCGAUACUGGCCUUCUUGAGUGUGGAUGAAGUAGGCGGAAUUUGUGGUGUAGCGGUGAAAUGAUUAGAUAUCACGAGGAACUCCGAUUGCGCAGGCAGCUUACUAAGCCACAACUGACGCUCAUGCACGAAGGCGUGG